rnacentral:rRNA from 1 species
CCUACGGGAGGCAGCAGUGAGGAAUAUUGGUCAAUGGGCGCGAGCCUGAACCAGCCAAGUAGCGUGAAGGAUGACUGCCCUACGGGUUGUCAACUUCUUUUAUAAAGGAAUAAAGUGAGGAACGUGUUCCUUUUUGUAUGUACCAUAUGAAUAAGCAUCGGCUAACUCCUUGCCAGCAGCCGCGGUAAUACGGAAGAUGCGCGCGUUUUCCGUAUUUUUUGGGUUUAAAGGGUGCGUAGGUGGUUAAUUAAGUCAGCGGUGAAAGUUUGUGGCUCAAACAUAAAAUUGCCGUUGAAACUGGUUGACUUGAGUAUAUUUGAGGUAGGCGGAAGGCGUGGUGUAGCGGUGAAAUGAAUAGAUAUCACGCAGAACUCCGAUUGCGAAGGCAGCUUACUAAACUAUAACUGACACUGAAGCACGAAAGCGUGGGGAUCAAACAGGAUUAGAUACCCCUGUAGUC